CCAGUUGGCCGGACGGCCGCUCCGGCAAGCGGUGAAAACCCGCCGGGGAGGAAAGUCCGGGCUCCACGGAGACACGGUGCCGGGUAACGCCCGGCGGGGGUGACCCUAGGGAAAGGGCCACAGAAAGCAAACCGCCGGCGGCGUCAGCCAGCCGGUAAGGGUGAAAGGGUGGGGUAAGAGCCCACCGCGCCGCCGGCAACGGGGGCGGCAUGGUAAACCCCACCGGGAGCAAGACCGAAUAGGGACGACGCGGAUGGCGCAAGCCGUUCAGGCCCGUUUCCAGGCCAGUCGUCCGGGUUGGUUGCACGAGGCGUCCGGUAACGGGCGUCCCAGAUGAAUGGUCGUCACGCGGGCUUCGCGCCCGCCUUACAGAACCCGGCUUACAGGCCGACUGGCACU
rnacentral:RNase_P_RNA from 1 species